rfam:Actinobacteria bacterium 13_2_20CM_2_66_6 13_2_20cm_2_scaffold_15453, whole genome shotgun sequence.
GACCCCGUAGCUCAGCGGAUAGAGCAGCAGCCUUCGAAGCUGUUGGCGAGAGUUCGAUUCUCUCCGGGGUCG